rnacentral:rRNA from 1 species
UGCGUAGGCGGAUUUGUAAGUCCGUGGUGAAAUCUCCGAGCUUAACUCGGAAACUGCCAUGGAUACUAUAAGUCUUGAAUGUUGUGGAGGUUUGCGGAAUAUGUCAUGUAGCGGUGAAAUGCUUAGAUAUGACAUAGAACACCGAUUGCGAAGGCAGCAGGCUACACAAAUAUUGACGCUGAGGCACGAAAGCGUGGGGAUCAAACAGGAUUAGAUACCCUGGUAGUCCACGCCCUAAACGAUGAUUACUCGACAUUUGCGAUACACAGCAAGUGUCUGAGCGAAAGCAUUAAGUAAUCCACCUGGGAAGUACGACCGCAAGGUUGAA